CACGCUGUAAACGAUGAUUACUAGGUGUAGGGGGUAUCAACUCCCUCUGUGCCGCAGCAAACGCAAUAAGUAAUCCGCCUGGGGAGUACGGCCGCAAGGUUGAAACUCAAAGGAAUUGACGGGGGCCCGCACAAGCAGCGGAGCAUGUGGAUUAAUUCGACGCAACGCGAAGAACCUUACCAAGGCUUGACAUCCACUUAAACUCAUGGAAACAUGAGGUGUUUUCGGACGAAGUGAGACAGGUGG
rnacentral:rRNA from 1 species